rnacentral:rRNA from 1 species
GAUGAACGCUGGCGGCGUGCCUAAUACAUCCAAGUCGAGCGAACAGACGAGGAUCUUGCUCCUCUGACGUUAGCGGCGGACGGGUGAGUAACACGUGGAUAACCUACCUAUAAGACUGGGAUAACUUCGGGAAACCGGAGCUAAUACCGGAUAAUAUAUUGAACCGCAUGGUUCAAUAGUGAAAGACGGUUUUGCUGUCACUUAUAGAUGGAUCCGCGCCGCAUGAGCUAGUUGGUAAGGUAACGGCUUACCAAGGCAACGAUGCGUAGCCGACCUGAGAGGGUGGUCGGCCAGACUGGAAGUGAGACACGGUCCAGACUCCUACGGGAGGCAGCAGUAGGGAAUCUUCCGCAAUGGGCGAAAGCGUGACGGAGCAACGCCGCGUGAGUGAUGAAGGUGUUCGGAUCGUAAAACUCUGUUAUUAGGGAAGAACAAAUGUGUAAGUAACUAUGCACGUCUUGACGGUACCUAAUCAGAAAGCCACGGCUAACUACGUG